UCGGGAAUUUUGGGCAAUGGGGGAAACCCUGACCCAGCAACGCCGCGUGAAGGAUGAAGUAUUUCGGUAUGUAAACUUCGAAAGAAUAGGAAGAAUAAAUGACGGUACUAUUUAUAAGGUCCGGCUAACUACGUGCCAGCAGCCGCGGUAAUACGUAGGGACCAAGCGUUGUUCGGAUUUACUGGGCGUAAAGGGCGCGUAGGCGGCAUGACAAGUCACUUGUGAAAUCUCUGGGCUUAACCCAGAACGGCCAAGUGAUACUGUCGCGCUAGAGUGCAGAAGGGGCAAUCGGAAUUCUUGGUGUAGCGGUGAAAUGCGUAGAUAUCAAGAGGAACACCUGAGGUGAAGACGGGUUGCUGGGCUGAUACUGACGCUCAUGUACGAAAGCGUGGGGAGCAAACAGGAUUAGAUACCCCGGUAGUCCCUGAGCGGGCUGGCAAGGCGCAU
rnacentral:rRNA from 1 species